GUGUCUUUAAGUUCCAGCCAAUCACUGAUGAUCUAGGAUAUCAAAACGCCUGUGUUUUAAGGGCAAAUCUUUCAAUUGAGUUAGUACAGCACUAGUAGAGCAGCGAAACGCAACUAUGUCUGCAAGAGUUUUUGCUAUUACAAUUCUUAUGGGGUUAUCGAUGAUUGACACCAAAGAGGGUCCUCAUAUUGUCUCUUUGCAAAUAGCAAGACUUGGAGAGGAUGUUACUUUACAUUGUGGUGAUAGAAAGGAAAGUAGAUUUAUUCACUGGUACAAGCAAUCGAUUGGAUAUGUUCCCCAAAAGGUCGCUACAAUAGUUGGUGAUGAUUUUAGUCAAAUUUUCCCUCCUUUCGAUUCACGUUUCACUGCAGCAGACAUGAAUCUGAACAUUACAUCUGUGAGUAAAAGAAGACGAAGGAAACUAUUUCUGCCAAGAGCAUAUUUCAAAGAAUUGGAAAAGUGGAUUUUUUUUGUCUAUCAAAGAUCCCAAUGACCAGAGGUUUGUCUCCCAGACCUGUGGACCAACAGCCUGUGUCUGCAUCAGCUCAGCUGGGAGACCCUGUGGCUCUCCAGUGCUCUAUUACCUCCCAGAGGACGGACCACAGUAACCAGUGUCAAGGGGAACCAAGUGUGUACUGGUUCAGAUCAGGACCAUCUCACCCUGCUGCCAUUUCCGUGAAUGGAAACACGAGGGGUGAAUGUCGGAAUAGUUCUGGGCCUCCGUCUGCUCCACAGAGCUGUGUCUACACUCUCCCCAAGAAACAAUGUAGACUCCUCUGAUGCUGGGACCUACUACUGUGCCCUGGCAUUAUGUGGGGAAGUUGUGUUUGGAAAUGGAACCCAGCUGGAUAUACCAGGAGCCAAGCUGUUUCCAGCAACCAUGGUACUUGAAUACUGUUGGCUUGCUGUCUGGUUGUGAUUAUAAUCCUCCUUCUCACCAAAAAUAAAAAUCAAGUUUGUGAGCAUUGCAAAGGAACACUGGGUGCUUCCUACUCUGUCCCACACGACUCAGUGAAUCAGGAACCACAGGACGGGAAAACCGAA